GCCCCUGUGGCACAAUGGCUAGUGCGUUGGACUUCUAAUCCAAAAGUCGUGAGCUCGAAUCCCAACUGGGAUG